rnacentral:rRNA from 1 species
CCCUUAGAUGUUCUGGGCUGCACGCGCGCUACACUGAAGCUAUCAACACGUUUUCCCUCCCUGAGAAGGGCGGGUAACCUUUUGAAUCAGCUUCGUGGUAGGGAUCGGGGCUUGCAAUUGUUCCCCGUGAACCAGGAAUUCCUAGUAGACGCGAGUCAUAAGCUCGCAUCGAUUAAGUCCCUGCCCUUUGUACACACCGCCCGUCGCUACUACCGAUUGAACGUUUUAGUGAGGCAUUUGGACCGACGCAUCUCAGUUUAACCGCUGGUUUGUGUUGGAAAGACUUCCAAACUUGAGCGUUUAGAGGAAGUACAAGUCGUAACA